GGAAUAUAUAUUUAUUUGAUU
rnacentral:piRNA from 1 species